rnacentral:rRNA from 1 species
GACGAACGCUGGCGGCGUGCCUAAUACAUGCAAGUUGAGCGAUGAAGAUUGGUGCUUGCACCAAUUUGAAGAGCAGCGAACGGGUGAGUAACGCGUGGGGAAUCUGCCUUUGAGCGGGGGACAACAUUUGGAAACGAAUGCUAAUACCGCAUAACAACUUUAAACAUAAGUUUUAAGUUUGAAAGAUGCAAUUGCAUCACUCAAAGAUGAUCCCGCGUUGUAUUAGCUAGUUGGUGAGGUAAAGGCUCACCAAGGCGAUGAUACAUAGCCGACCUGAGAGGGUGAUCGGCAAAAUUGGGGCUGAGACACGGCCCAAACUCCUACGGGAGGCAGCAGUAGGGAAUCUUCGGCAAUGGACGAAAGUCUGACCGAGCAACGCCGCGUGAGUGAAGAAGGUUUUCGGAUCGUAAAACUCUGUUGGUAGAGAAGAACGUUGGUGAGAGUGGAAAGCUCAUCAAGUGACGGUAACUACCCAGAAAGGGACGGCUAACUACGUG